rnacentral:rRNA from 1 species
UACGUAGGGUGCAAGCGUUGUCCGGAAUUAUUGGGCGUAAAGAGCUCGUAGGCGGCUUGUCGCGUCUGCUGUGAAAACUCGGGGCUUAACCCCGGGCCUGCAGUGGGUACGGGCAGACUAGAGUGCGGUAGGGGAGACUGGAAUCCCUGGUGUAGCGGUGAAAUGCGCAGAUAUCAGGAGGAACACCGGUGGCGAAGGCGGGUCUCUGGGCCGAUACUGACGCUGAGGAGCGAAAGCGUGGGGAGCGAACAGG